rnacentral:rRNA from 1 species
GACGAACGCUGGCGGCGUGCCUAAUACAUGCAAGUAGAACGCACAGUUUAUACCGUAGCUUGCUACACCAUAGACUGUGAGUUGCGAACGGGUGAGUAACGCGUAGGUAACCUGCCUGGUAGCGGGGGAUAACUAUUGGAAACGAUAGCUAAUACCGCAUAAUAUUAAUUAUUGCAUGAUAAUUAAUUGAAAGGUGCAAUUGCACCACUACCAGAUGGACCUGCGCUGUAUUAGCUAGUAGGUGAGGUAACGGCUCACCUAGGCGACGAUACAUAGCCGACCUGAGAGGGUGAUCGGCCACACUGGGACUGAGACACGGCCCAGACUCCUACGGGAGGCAGCAGUAGGGAAUCUUCGGCAAUGGACGAAAGUCUGACCGAGCAACGCCGCGUGAGUGAAGAAGGUUUUCGGAUCGUAAAGCUCUGUUGUAAGAGAAGAACGGGUGUGAGAGUGGAAAGUUCACACUGUGACGGUAUCUUACCAGAAAGGGACGGCUAACUACGUG